UGUUGAAUUUGCUUUGUCAAUAUUUCUGCUUAUUUGUCAAUCUUGCUUUUGUUUUCAUAGGUGGACAGAUGGACAGUGGUCAAUCCAACCAACUCUGAAUUCUUGGAGUCGCUACAACUGAUGGCUAGAGGUGCGGGCGGCUGGAGGUGCUGCUACAGCGGGCGGCAAGAGAACGAUCAAGAGUCGUGAGACUGUAGGUGCGGGAGGCUGGAGGUGUGGGCACCUAUGCUCCUACAACAGGGCCAUGGGGCGCGACGGGCAGAAGCUGCAAGGGGCGGCUGGAGGACGAGCAGGACUCGCCGACAGCUGGAGGUGCCGGCUCGACGGGAAGGAGCCACGAGGCUGUAGGGGCGUCGGCGACUGGAGGUGCGGGCUCGAGGUGUAGGGGCGUCGACGACUGGAGGUGCGGGCUCGGGGUGUAGGGGCGCCGACGACUGGAGGUGCGGGCUCGAGGUGUAGGGGAGCCGGCGACUGGAGGCGGGAAGGCGCCGGCGACUAAAGGUGCGGGCUCGAGGUGUAGGGGCACCCUAGAUCACCUUGUGCCAAUGCCAUUACCGAGGGCAGUUCUCGGUAAAGACAUAAUCAUAUUAUUUAUUUUAAAUGUUUAGCAAAUAAUGUAAAGCUUUUACUGAUAAAUGUGACCAUUGGGACCACAUCUCACAUAUAGAAAAAUGUUUCUUUGACGUGUUUUUAUCGAUGAUGACAUCGCCACUCUCGGUAUAGUUAAACCAAGUGACGGCACCGUCGGUUCCUAACGGCCAUGCCACGUGGUUUCUCUUUGCCGAGAGUAGCUCUCGGCGACGAUCCUGUUUGCCAUUCGGUGCGUGUUCGCCGUGAGCCAGUGUCGGCAAAGGUACGUAGUUGCUGUGAACCUGUGUUUACCGAGGGUGUCUCUCGGCAUUUAUUUGUUUGCCGAGAGCCCGUGGUUUAGCUCUCCGCAAAGAGCCUGACACCCGGCGCAUCCGAAAAUUCCAGUAGUGAAAAGAACUCCAUAUCACCUACCUAGUCAUCCGGCGGAGCUGCAUCUCCGUUGCUAGUUAAACAUGAUGCACUCAUACACACGCUCGAUUCAAGUGCCAAACUAUGAGUAAAAAACAACUUGGCAAUAGGGUAGCUGCAUGCAUCUCCGCCCCCGCUAGGCAUGCGGUAUAAAUGGGACUAACUAAGCCCAUUUCACUUAAUCAUCUUAGUGAAAACCCACUGAACAACAGUAAAAUUAAGUGAGCUGUCCCAUUUAACCCGGUGGGAACCCUCCACACCACUAACCAUCACACCAUGUGCAAACAUGAUGUUGGUGACCCUGCACAUACAAACUUUCCCCGUCCCAAAUCCAUCAGCAGGCAACAGCUACGAGGCCGGUCUGAUCUUAUUUUCUCUACCACUAGAACUUGAAUGCAACGCGUGACUGUGGCAGCUCGCAACACUGGUCCACCAGCACCUCCCUCCAGUACAAUCACACCACUCUUCACUACGUCGCCACCCUCCGCGUAACUGGAUGGGCCCCACCGACCGAGGUCCACCGCCGCGAGUAAUGGAUGUCGCUGGCCCGCUUCCCACAACGUUCAUCGCCGACGUAAGCGGUGGCAGGUCCUUCCUCAGGAUGUCCACUGCCGCCGAGGCCAUGUUCGCGGGGGUCGUCAUCCUGCUCCUCGUCGUCGCAACUGCGUGGAUCGCCGUGUACCCAAGGUGCUGGCAAUUAAAACUUUGCAAUUUAGUACCACAUUAGCACCUACCAUCCAAUUCCUUCUUCUCUGGAAUUGCAAACUUUCAUGAAGAGGACGGGGAGGAUGUUCCUGUUUCUGGUGCUUGACGAAUGCAACAAUCACAUGGGCAUGCGCAGGACGGCCACAUGAUUGCCGCUGCCAUGGACGAUCGGUACAACAGCCUGCCCACUUAAACCCACUUACCCCGAUUAACCUUUGGCAGGGUGUCCGCUCACGCCCACCUAUGUGUAUUAGGAUGAAGCGGGCUGAGGUGGGACUCCCACGAGCAGUCCCACUUGCAGCCUGAAGUGGAGAGGUUGCUGGGUUAGAAGGGAAAAAACAUCAUUUUGCCUGACCGCAUCGAUCUUGUGCGCUCCAACCUCUCAGCUAUGGUGGUGUUUCAGCAAUGCUGCUUACACCUCCCACCUGGCUGGUCAUGCCUGUCCACAAAAUCAAAAGAGACUUCAUGUGGAAUGUUGAGGACAAGGCCCCACGUGACAAGUGUUUCAUCCACAGGACCUACAUGUUAAAGCCACAAAAUUGUGGGCGGCUCGGGAUCACCGACAUUGUUCGCCAAAGUAGAGCACUUUGCCUCCACCCACUUUGGCUCGCUUGGAACUAUACGUACAUCCAAGCCUUGGCAGGGGCACGCCAUACCACAGGGCAAGGAUGUAAGCGCCAUCUUCAUGUCGUCCACCACGAUAGUCCACCUCCGCCCUACAUGCAGCGGCGAGUUCUCAAACUACGUGAGCUCUGGGACAAAUUGAUGAGAUUCAUUACACCAAAUCCCUCAAUUGAGCUCCUUCGGCAAGCUUCUGAGCUUUGGGAUCGUAAACUGUGCAUCUCCUUCCAUGACCGUGCCAAUGACAGGAUUAGCUAGAACUUGACGGCAGAUGGAGUCUGCUCGGCGGCCUUGCUUAUGCAUUCCAGUUUGAGGGACUCACCCGGUCGGAUGAUCGGGUGAGUCAUCUGGAGCGUAAAGGCGCCGCCGCACCCAAAGGCAUCCAUGUGGCUUCCGAUCAUGGGCACAGGAUUAGCUGAGGACAAUGUUGGCCUUGCGCAGCAUCGCCCAUGAUCCUAUUUGUGCACUUAACAACAUAGAUUGUGUGCAAAAUCUCAUCCCCGACUGCUCAUUUGCCACUCCUGUCAUUCUGUCUGGGAUUUGAUCAACUUAGUUGCCCUCUGUGAAAUCGCUGGCACAUGCAACUUUGAAGACUUGCCAAGAAAGGGGGUGAUAAACCAAGAGCCCUUUUCAAGUAUCUAUGCUGGUUGUUAAGCGGUUGCCAACACCGAUGUCUCUUGAAUUAGGAUUUUGCCCCGCUUUAUGAAUAAAGCCAACAUCACGUCCAUACAAUGAGUUCUAGUGUCGAAAUAUCAUAGUCUACCUGGAAAACAUCACACAAUCACGCCCAAAAAAAGCAUAAAAGAAAUAAGUAAAAAGACCAAGUGGCCACACACUUAUGAAGCCUGCUGCAAUGGGAGCCGCCAAGCGGUCGCAUCCAUCAUAAGCCCUAGAUGCUCGCUGCCACGCUGCCUAGACACCAGAUGCCAGUGCUGUAAGAAGACAAGAAAUUUAAAAAAAGAGUGAGGGGCCCUUCUAAGAAAGACGCAUCUUAUUAUGUGUCUACAUAGCGUCCAAGCCAAUGCCGCAAACACUAGCCAGAAGAUGUGUCUCCUCCUACUGGUCUGGACAACUUUAGCCUGAAGGAACCGAGAUAGAUCUGGGCCCUCCCAAUCAGGCCCAAGCUAGGGCCCCAUAGAUGAAACUCCACAGCGUCCAAGCCAGGGCCGAUGUCCACCUAUUUUUUCUCUUUGUUCUAACCUUUCCGUAACCUUUUGAUGAACAGAUAUUCACUGAAAUUAAGGGAGGAGUUCUUAACCAUUUGUUAAAACAUCUAGCCACGUUUGUGACUUGCUCCUGUUGAGAGGAAUUAGUAAGUGCAUACACAUUGAUAUCUAUUAUGCAACAGUUAAUAAAUUUUAUACUGCUCUAAAGUUUAAUGUAGAUCGUUGUAACCUUUUGAUGAACAUAUACACAUUAAUAAAAAGGUUUAAAAGGAGUAAAAUCAGGUGCGUUGCGCAAUAACUGAAUUUUUUCGCAGAUCGGUUGGUACAAUAUCUGAAUUUUCGUAGGCAGGUUGCAGCAGAAAGAUGAGCACUGAUCCAAGGGUUUUAUGUCUUGAAAGAAAGACAUAUCAAGAGGAAUAUGCUUGCAAGGAGGAGAAGGAAAUACAACAACAACAAAAGGCAGAGUUUAUGUCUUACUCGCAACCAGAUUCCAGGAAACCAAGAUCACACAUAAUGAAGUCUUUUGUACCUUUAUUAUUCAGAUCCUCAUACAGUAAAAACACCUGCUCAAUGGGCGUCUACUGAGCGGAACUUCCUACCGAUGGAACUCCAGUCCCGAUCCCGAGCCGCAUCCCUGCGGUGGUAGCAUCCUCUGCACGUUCCGCUUCUUUCGGAUGGCACGAUAGACGGAGGCCAUCUGCACGCAGGAAGUCUCCAGUUCACGCCCAAGGCAUGGGGCGCUUGCACCGCCAAGUCCUCCUCACCAACUUCCUUGACGGCGGCGGCUGUAGGAGCAUUGUAGGCAGCACCCAACCACUCCUUGCAUCAUCGAGAUCGCCUCCCCUCCCCCUGUACAACAGAGCCAAGAUGAGAACUUGUUUCAAAAGAACAGACGCAAGAGCAACGUGGCAAAGACACUCAACAGAGCCAAGAUGAGCAGACCAAGACGGUGAAACAACGUACCUGCAGAGUCUGCGCCGGCGCUGCAUGAGCGAGGUGCCAGCGUUGCAUGAGAGAGGUGGCACAUGACACGAGUGCUGCCACUAACCGGCGAUGUGCGAAGGCCAUCGAGAUGGGAGCCAGUGAAGCUGGGAGAAGACAACACUGUAUCGCAUUUCUCAUGUAUGACUACAUCGCCACCACACAACUUGAAAUUUACCAUAUAUUUCGGUGCCGGCAGGUUCUAGACCAUUUUUUCAGCUUUCUUCUAAUAUCUCAUCUAAAUUAUGUGGGUGAAUCCUUUCAACUGUGUAGUACUACUCAUCUCAUCAUGAGUGCAGUUAUGAUAUAUUUCUUCAAAGUGCAACGUAGUGGCGCUUUUAUAACACGAGAAAUGUCAUGAGAUUUAUGCAUACAUCCAUGUACACAUUGACAUGCAACAGUUAGACGACCACGCCAUAUUGAUGAUGCUGGUUUGCAACAGCUAGAUCACGCCAUACAUAUGAAGUUAUCAGUCAAACCCCCUUGAGUUCACUACAUCUGCUAAUUAGUGUUGGAGGUAAGCAUCCACAUCAAGUCUUCAUCCCACAGCGCAUUUGGCAAUGGCCGUUGCGCAACCCUUCCAUUUUACUCCUUCCAUCUCGAUUUAUAAGUGCACCACGUACUUGAUGAUUUUAAUAUAAUAUAUAAACAAUACAAAGUCUGCCAUCAAUUUCAUAUUUUUUUAUGAUAGAUUAUUUAUAUAUUAAUGGUCUAAGUCAUGAUUAAAACAAAAAUAAAUUCUCCCACAAAAAUAUUUAAAUAUGUGCACGCAUGGAUGAUGAGCUGGAUGGAAGUAGUAGCCCAACAAGUCAAACUGUUCUGCCCGCCCCAUCUGAAAGAGCCUUCCUCCAAAGUUGUCAGAAUGGUGAUUCUUUUUCUACCAUUUUAUGACUUUUACUCCCUAGGUACCGAUUUAUUUGUGGUUGGGGGUUUUCCCUACAAAAUUCCCACCGAAGGAUUAUUUUGGUUGUUGCCUAAACUACCCUCCCACCUCUCAUCCACUCUCUCGUGCACAGCAGCUCAGUCGCACGCUCAGCCGCACAGCCGACUGUGUCGCCGGAGCCUCUCCCUCGCCCUCGUCGCCUUCUCCCUGACGCCCCCGUAGUCGGCGCCCGCGUGGACUCCUCUCUGUCAGCCCCCGUUGUCGUCGCCCGCGUGGACUCCUCUCUGUCGCCCCCGCGCCGUCGCACUUUCCGGAGGUGGAUCCGAAGCGCGGCGGCUCGAUCUACAUAGCCAGCAGCUACGGAACGCCGCUCUCCCCCUGCUCGAUCUACCCUGCUCCGACUGCUUCAGCAGGCCAAGAAACCAUAAUGCCUCGGCAUCUCCAUCGACCGUCUCAGGAAGCGCUACCUCGUCUGGCUCCCGCAUAGCUGAUGGUAAGCCCCUCCUUUGCUCUCUUGGCCUGAUUGCUUGCUUGCGAGCCUUCCUCUAUUAGGUAUCUCUGCAAGCCAACAAAGUAAAUCCAUCAAUGCAACUAGUACUCUGAAUCCAUCAAUGCAACUAGUACUCUAAAUUUGGAGUGCCAGGAGUAGUACUCUGAAUCCAUCAAUGCAACUAAAUCCAUCAAUGUGAAUCAAGUUGUGACAGGUAUCUCUGCAUGCUUAAUUCACUCAAUUUUUUUGCAGUAGGACUAGUUGCUGGAAAUUUACUGAACUUUGUUUCCCGUGGAUGCACUGAAUUUAACAGAAAGAGUACUCCAGGAGUACAUGGAGUUGAUACACUGAAUUUUGUUUCCAGUAGAUGCACUCUGAUGAUCUCUGCAUCACCACAAAAGUGCAGAUACAAAAGCCAGAUGUUUUGCUUAUUAUACUGAACUUUUCCUGAGUAAGUCAUAUGAUUUGCUUUUUCUAUCUUGUUAGGUGAGUAAACACUAAAUCAGUGUUCAGUAAAUGGCUGCUCCAAAUGUUUAGUAAAUGGAUACUCCAAAUGUUCAGUAAAUGGCUGCUCCAAAUCAUUUGGUGCCUGAUUUGGACGGCUACCGUGUGCAGCAGCUGCUUGCUUGUGUGUGCAAAUCAUUCCAAUCAUCAGUGUCGCUUCAAAUCAUUAUUACUGAGUGCAGCUGCUCAGCCCCAUCCGGGAUAAUACUGAAUUUCUUAGCAUUACAGUACUUGCUGGAAAUCAUUCCUGUAAUUACAGUAUGGUGGUCAGCUUCAAGCAUUAUUACUGUAAUUGCUGCAAAUCAUCAUUGUUCAAAUCAUUAGUCAGAUUCAAUAUAAUCUUUAGGAUUAGUCAAUUCUUUGGAGUAAAUUACAGUACGGUGAUGUUCAAUAUGAAUUGGAGUAAAUUACAGUACGGUGAUGUUCAAUAUGAAUUGGAGUAAAUUGCUAGAGUAGUGUACUGCUGCUGUAGUUUCUCUCUUCUCAUCUCUCUCUUCUCACUUCCCUGAAAGCUCUAUUAGGUAUCUAGUGUAGGAGUAAGAGUGGCUAGGAUUAAUUUCUCUCUUCUCACCUCUCAUUUUCUUCCUCUUUCUCUUCUCUUUUCAAAGCACUUUUUUGAAUUUUAAUUCAUCUGUGUGCAUACAAAUUCAGAAGAGUGCUUUGAAAAGCACUUAACUGAAUUUUAAUGCACAUAGGUGCAUAAAAAAUCAGAGAACUGCUUUGAAAAGCACUUUUUCAAUUUUAGUUCACCGAUGUGCAUACAAAUUCAGAAAAGUGCUUUGAAAAGCACUUAACUGAAUUUUAAUGCAUCUAUGUGCAUACAAACUGAGAGAAGUUCUUUGAAAAGCACUUAACUGUAGUGCCUGGUUUGAGGAUAAUAAUCCAGUUAGUUUCCCCUGCCGUUGGUCAUUAAGAGUAUUUGGAAUAAAAAGGGAGUAGCUCACCUACUGUUGAAUUUGCUUUGUCAAUAUUUCUGCUUAUUUGUCAAUCUUGCUUUUGUUUUCAUAGGUGAAGAGAUGGACAGUGACCAAUCCAAGCACUUCUGAACUCUUGGAGUCGCUACAACUGACGGCUAGAGGUGCGGGCGGCUGGAGGUGCUGGUACAACGGGCGGUAGGAGGACGAUCAAGAUUCGUGAGACUAUAGGUGCGGGCGGCUGGAGGUGUGGGCACCUAUGCUCCUACAACAGGGCCAUGGGGCGCGACGGGCAGAAGCUGCAAGGGGCGGCUGGAGGACGAGCAGGACUCGCCGACAGCUGGAGGUGCCGGCUCGACGGGAAGGAGCCACGAGGCUGUAGGGGCGUCGGCGACUGGAGGUGCGGGCUCAAGGUGUAGGGGCGUCGACGACUGGAGGUGCGGGCUCGGGGG
rnacentral:lncRNA from 1 species